UACGUAGGGUGCGAGCGUUGUCCGGAAUUAUUGGGCGUAAAGGGCGCGUAGGCGGCCUGGCAAGUGGAAGGUGAAAUCCCUCGGCUUAACCGAGGAACUGCCCUCCAAACUGCUUGGCUUGAGUCCGGGAGAGGUGAGUGGAAUUCCCAGUGUAGCGGUGAAAUGCGUAGAUAUUGGGAGGAACACCAGUGGCGAAGGCGGCUCACUGGACCGGCAUUGACGCUGAGGUGCGAAAGCGUGGGGAGCAAACAGG
rnacentral:rRNA from 1 species